UGAUAAUAUUCCCCAUCCCAUCAACCAGCAGAAUCAGCUAUAUAUGUGUGCUAUUUCGAGGUCUAUACGCAACAUCCUGCAUCGGGGUCAUGAAACUUGACUGAUUACACGACAGAAUCUAAGUGCCGACGAGUCCUUCCGCCAAAUACCAAUGCUCUUCAGGACGGCUGAGAUACAACAAGUAUAAUAGCGGUCUAGCUAAGAUGAUGUGUGAACCCAUGAACCACGGUGGAUUCUAUUUACUAUGUUGCUUAUUUCUUUCUUUUUCAUGCAACCCUUCCAUGGACCACCUGAAGGAAGUCCAUGAACCACAGUGGAUUCUAUUUACUAUGCUGCUUAUUUCUUUCUUUUUCAUCCAACCCUUCCAUGGACCACCUGUAGGGAGUCCAUAAACCACAAUGGAUUUUAUUUACUAUGCUGCUUAUUUCUUUCUUUUUCAUCCAACCCUUCCAUGGACCACCUCAAGGAAGACAUGAACUACAGUGGAUUCUAUUUACUAUGCUGCUUUCUUUUCGUGUAACCCUUCCAUGGACCACCUGAAGGAAGCCAUGAACCACAGUGGAUUCUAUUUACUAUGCUGCUUAUUUCUUUCUUUUUCAUUCAACACUUCCAUGGACCACCUGAAGGGAGUCCAUGAACCACAGUUUAAGAAGCACUUUCUUAGAGAAAUAAACAAUCUGGUCCUUUUA